UACGGGGGGGGCAAGCGUUGUUCGGAAUUACUGGGCGUAAAGGGCUCGUAGGCGGCCUUCUAAGUCAGACGUGAAAUCCCCCGGCUUAACCUGGGAACUGCGUCUGAUACUGGGAGGCUAGAGUGCGGGAGAGGGAUGCGGAAUUCCAGGUGUAGCGGUGAAAUGCGUAGAUAUCUGGAGGAACACCGGUGGCGAAGGCGGCAUCCUGGACCGACACUGACGCUGAGGCGCGAAAGCUAGGGUAGCAAACGGG
rnacentral:rRNA from 1 species